GACGAACGCUGGCGGCGUGCUUAACACAUGCAAGUCGAACGGUAAGGCCCUUCGGGGUACACGAGUGGCGAACGGGUGAGUAACACGUGGGUGAUCUGCCCUGCACUUCGGGAUAAGCCUGGGAAACUGGGUCCAAUACCGGAUAGGACCACUGCCUGCAUGGGUGGUGGUGGAAAGCUUUUGCGGUGUGGGAUGGGCCCGCGGCCUAUCAGCUUGUUGGUGGGGUGAUGGCCUACCAAGGCGACGACGGGUAGCCGGCCUGAGAGGGUGACCGGCCACACUGGGACUGAGAUACGGCCCAGACUCCUACGGGAGGCAGCAGUGGGGAAUAUUGCACAAUGGGCGCAAGCCUGAUGCAGCGACGCCGCGUGAGGGAUGACGGCCUUCGGGUUGUAAACCUCUUUCAGCAUCGACGAAGCGAAGGUGACGGUAGGUGCAGAAGAAGGACCGGCCAACUACGUGCCAGCAGCCGCAGUAA
rnacentral:rRNA from 1 species